rnacentral:rRNA from 1 species
GACGAACGCUGGCGGCGUGCCUAAUACAUGCAAGUCGACAACAGCGGCGGACGGGUGAGUAACACGUAAGGAACCUACCGAUAAGCGGGGGACAACAUCAGGAAACGGGUGCUAAUACCGACUACUUAUCGAUGGACUUGCGGUGCAUUAGCUAGUGUGUGGGGGAACGGCCUACCAAGGCAAUGAUGCAUAGCCGACCUGAGAGGGUAAUCGGCAAAAUGGGGAAUGAGACACGGCCCAAACUCCUACGGGAGGCAGCAGUAGGGAAGCUUCCGCAAUGGGCGCAAGCCUGACGGAGUAACGCCGCGUGAGUGAAGAAGGUUUUCGGAUCGUAAAGCUCUGUUGGAAGAGAAGCGGUAGCUUACCAGAAAGCCACGGCUAACUACGUGCCAGCAGCCGCGGUAAUUC